UUCGGUCGGGAACUCAAAGGAGACUGCCAGUGAUAAACUGGAGGAAGGUGGGGAUGACGUCAAGUCAUCAUGGCCCUUACGACCAGGGCUACACACGUGCUACAAUGGCGCAUACAAAGAGAAGCGACCUCGCGAGAGCAAGCGGACCUCAUAAAGUGCGUCGUAGUCCGGAUUGGAGUCUGCAACUCGACUCCAUGAAGUCGGAAUCGCUAGUAAUCGUGGAUCAGAAUGCCACGGUGAAUACGUUCCCGGGCCUUGUACACACCGCCCGUCACACCAUGGGAGUGGGUUGCAAAAGAAGUAGGUAGCUUAACCUUCGGGAGGGCGCUUACCACUUUGUGAUUCAUGACUGGGGUGAAGUCGUAACAAGGUAACCGUAGGGGAACCUGCGGUUGGAUCACCUCCUUACCUGAAAGAA
rnacentral:rRNA from 3 species